UACGUAGGGGGCAAGCGUUGUCCGGAUUUAUUGGGCGUAAAGAGCGUGUAGGCGGUUCGGUAGGUCCGUUGUGAAAACUCGAGGCUCAACCUCGAGACGCCGAUGGAAACCAUCGAACUAGAGUCCGGAAGAGGAGAGUGGAAUUCCUGGUGUAGCGGUGAAAUGCGCAGAUAUCAGGAAGAACACCCGUGGCUAAGGCGGCUCUCUAGUACGGUACUGACGCUGAGACGCGAAAGCGUGGGGGAGCGAACAGGAUAGAA
rnacentral:rRNA from 1 species